UACGUAGGGUGCGAGCGUUGCCCGGAUUUAUUGGGCGUAAAGGGCGCGCAGGCGGCUACGCACGUCCGUUGUGAAAUCGCUCGGCUCAACCGGGCGGGGUCAGCGGAUACGGCGUAGCUGGAGCAAGCUAGGGGGCAAUGGAAUUCCCGGUGUAGUGGUGGAAUGCGUAGAUAUCGGGAGGAACACCAGUGGCGAAGGCGGUUGCCUGGAGCUUUGCUGACGCUGAGGCGCGAAAGCGUGGGGAGCGAUCCGG
rnacentral:rRNA from 1 species